GCAGUGUAUGCGCUGCGCUUGUAAGCUCAAAAUGACUAGACCUGGUGAGGGGCCCUUUAACGAACUUGACACCAUGCAAUGUAUUCUGAUGAAGGCUGGACCCCGGCCGAAACAUCAAUAAACCUCUGCAUACGCGCGUCUACUUCACUAGCAGGAUUGGCCACCCUGGUGCAGUACUUGGCCACAACCUCCGGUAUGAACACAACAUUCAAACCCGGCCCUCAGUCCCCAGCAGCUGCGAAGCAACUGACCAUGGCGGCGGACAGACCUGCAACGCAGCAGAGGGUGCUAAGAAUCUUUGGAUCCGGACAGGCCUCCAUUGAAAUCUGAACCUGGCAACGUUCAACGCUGGAACGUUAUCU